AUUGAACGCUGGCGGCAGGCUUAACACAUGCAAGUCGAGCGGAUGAAGGGAGCUUGCUUCUGGAUUCAGCGGCGGACGGGUGAGUAAUGCCUAGGAAUCUGCCUCGCAGUGGGGGAUAACGUCUUGAAACGGGCGCUAAUACCGCAUACGUCCUGCGGGAGCUAGUGGGGGAUCUUCGGACCUCACGCUCUGAUAUGAGCCUAGUUCGGAUUUGCUAGUUGGUGGGGUAAGUGCCUACCUAGGCGACGAUUCGUAACUGGUCUGAGAGGAUGAUAAGUCACACUAGAACUGAGACAGGGUCAAGAGUACUGAGAGAGGCAGCAGUGGGGAAUAUUGGGCAAUGGGCGAGAGCAUGAUCCAGUCAUGCGGCGUGUGUUGAGAAGGUCUUCGGAGUGUAAAGAAGGUUAAGUUGGGGGGAAGGGCAGUAAGUUAAUACCAAGCUGUAUUGACGGUAACGAGAGAAUAAGCACCGGCUAACUACGUG
rnacentral:rRNA from 1 species